rnacentral:rRNA from 1 species
AGAGUUUGAUUCUGGCUCAGAACGAACGCUGGCGGCGUGGAUAAGACAUGCAAGUCGAACGGGGUUUAUAGCAAUAUAGAUUCAGUGGCGGACGGGUGCGUAACACGUGAACAAUCUGCCCGAAAGAGAGGGAUAGCCCAUGGAAACGUGGAUUAAUACCUUAUGUGAUUGUUGGGGGGCAUCCUCUGACAAUGAAACGCGCUUUACGGUGCGGCUUUCGGAUGAGUUCGCGGCCUAUCAGCUAGUUGGCGGGGUAAUGGCCCACCAAGGCUACGACGGGUAGCUGGUCUGAGAGGAUGACCAGCCACACUGGAACUGAGACACGGUCCAGACACCUACGGGUGGCAGCAGUCGAGAAUCAUUCACAAUGGGCGAAAGCCUGAUGGUGUGACGCCGCGUGGAGGAUGACGGUCUUCGGAUUGUAAACUCCUGUCAAGUGAGAGUAAGGCUUGGUGUUAACUGCAUCCAAGUUUGAGAGUAUCACUAGAGGAAGAGACGGCUAACUCUGUGCCAGCAGCCGCGGUAAUACAGAGGUCUCAAGCGUUGUUCGGAAUCACUGGGCGUAAAGGGUGCGUAGGCUGUGUUGUAAGUCAGAGGUGAAAUCCCGGGGCUCAACCCCGGAACUGCCUCCGAUACUGCAAGACUUGAGGACUGGAGAGGAGAUUGGAAUUCAUGUGGAGCAGUGAAAUGCGUAGAUAUCAUGAGGAACGCUAGUGGCGUAGGCGAAUCUCUGGACAGUUCCUGACGCUGAGGCACGAAGGCUAGGGGAGCAAACGGGAUUAGAUACCCCGGUAGUCCUAGCAGUAAACGGUGCACGCUUGGUGUGGGAGGAAUCGACCCCUUCCGUGCCGGAGCUAACGCGUUAAGCGUGCCGCCUGGGAAGUACGGUCGCAAGACUAAAACUCAAAGAAAUUGACGGGGACCCGCACAAGCGGUGGAGUAUGUGGCUUAAUUCGAUGCAACGCGAAGAACCUUACCUGGGCUUGACAUGCAUCUCUAAGCGCGUGAAAGCGCGUGACUGGAGCAAUCCAGAAUUUGCACAGGUGCUGCAUGGCUGUCGUCAGCUCGUGUCGUGAGAUGUUGGGUUAAGUCCCGCAACGAGCGCAACCCCUGUGUCCUUUUGCCAGCGAGUAAUGUCGGGAACUAUGGACAGACUGCCUAGUUCAACUAGGAGGAAGGUGGGGAUGACGUCAAGUCCGUAUGGCCCUUACGCCCAGGGCUGCACACGUACUACAAUGCCCGGUACAAUUUGAACCGAUACCGCGAGGUGGAGGAAAUCUAUAAAACCGGGCUCAGUUCAGAUUGGAGGCUGCAAUUCGCCUCCAUGAAGCUGGAAUCGCUAGUAACGGCGCAUCAGCUACGGCGCCGUGAAUACGUUCCCGGGUCUUGUACACACCGCCCGUCACAUCAUGGAAGCUGGUCUCGCUCGAAGUGUCCGCGCUAACCGUAAGGAAGCAGGGCCCUAAAGCAAGACUGGUGACUGGGAUGAAGUCGUAACAAGGUA